rnacentral:lncRNA from 1 species
GAUUAACCGAUUUUUAUUACGUGCCCUACUCCGUACUUUUUUCUCUUUGAUACUACCCUGCAGAUGUCAAAAAUGCUUGGGCUGCCUGUCCGUUCUCUGACUUGCGACGGGCUUGCUAUUCGUUGUUACCCCUGCAGAAUCGGAGUGCCGAUAUUGGCAUUAUUGGAAACCGAUGCUUUACAUAGGACAAUUGAUACAAAUUCAAUUAACAUGCAAACAAAUAGGAAACAAGGACGAGUGCCUAGAAUUUCAAUUUCUGUAGACCAUGAACUCGCAAGACGACGAUGUAUCAUGUUAUUCACGUAACAUAAUACAUAAUAACUAUGGGGCUUCGUAAUACUGAAAGCAUUGUCUACUACGUAGUAUGAGUGUAUCAAUACUAGCUCUUUCCUAGUCCGGAAGAAUACCUUACGUAGCAGUCUUCCUAAUUUUGAGUUGACGCCGCGCAUGAUCUUCGAUGGCCACGCGAGUGGCAAAUUCAUGGGUUGUAACUUGUAACAAUCUAAGGGUAAUCAUUACGGAGCCGGACAUGUUCCGUCACAUCGUGGAUCGUCACGAUGAAAAAAGAAAAGAAAAAGAAAAAAAUUUAAUUCACGAAAGUCAAAUAAACUAACUCAAAUCGUAAGGCGGUUCUCGAAUAACCUGGAUGGCGAACACCACUCUGCUAGCCAAAAUUAUCCAAUGCUCCCUUGUACCGAACAUUGAACAAUUUUGAACAAAGCCUGAAGAAAAAUAAUAGUCAGCUCUUGUCGAACUCUAUUACUGCCGGUGAUGGGCUCCACUUAGGGCAUGGUGACCCCCUUUUUUCGCGCGGUUGUGACUGCGAACGGAAAGAAGAAUUCGAACCUGUUUCCCUUUUGGGGAAGCACUUACUUUUCUUCGUUUUUUUUGUCGGCCACUCAGAAACUUGGUUGGAAUUUUUUUGUAAGCAAAUGUAUUCUUUUUGGUGUGUCUUGUUCCCAAAAUCUCCACCAAAGCCGUUGAAGAUUGUAUGCAAGUUGGGCUAGUUAGUUCAGGUUUCUACUACACACUACAUAACAUCCGGAGUCUCCGUUGUUACUCCGGCAUGCCGGAUAUCCCCCUUGAUACGGACUGAAGACUUGAGAUUUUUUUCCGCCUUAUCUUUAGUAACGAAUGUUUGCAAAAUGUUUAAUUUCGAUGUACGUAAGACGGAUAGGGCGAAGUUUUAACAUUCCACAAAUCGAGAAACUUACGACUCGUUUCAGAUAUUCCACAAUGGGCCGAAGGUUUAAGAAUCAUAUGGUGACGUAGUUAUGUACUCGUAGCAUUCCGUAAGUCUCCGUACUAAGCGUUGGGAUAGGUUCGUUCACCAAACCAGGGCGUAGGGAUGCACUCGGCUCAAAGGCCGAAUGCUGAUAAAAGCAUAGGUUCUUCACCUGACAUAUACAUACGUAGUACCCCUAGCUAGGCAGCCUGUGGCUUGAACUGGGCUUUGUUAGUCAAAUACUUUACACAGUAACUAAGUUAACUACAGAGUAUGUAGUAAGCUAGUUAACUAGUUCUCCUAGCUCAUAAUUUAGUCAACUCGAACUGCUCGAUCAGCAGUCUAUCAAGCACCAAGUUUAUCCUACUAUGAGUUUAGUUCAUACAUAAAGUUUAAAUUGAAACUUGCCGCUUCAAGGGAGAAAGUUGCUAACGGGAUACGGGAAAUACUCACUUCAGUCUUCCAUUUCUCAGUCCCACUGGAAAAUGCUGCCUAAUCUUCUUCAAGGCGAAUCUAGUCUACUGUAGUAGAAGAAAUGGCUGGUUAAAUGACAUCAUUUACUAUUGGGCCAUAGAUUGAAGCUCCUCACGUGGUGGAAUGCUUACAUUUGCCGGACUCCCUAGGAGAUAUCUCUAUCAAUGACAGAUCACUAUUCAAACCAGCCACUCAUCUCAUCAGCCUCUUAUCCUGGAAACCAUAUUCCGAAAUAUCGUUGGGGACAACUACUAGUGCUAGUUCCCAGUACGCCCUCCGCAAAUCAACAAAUUAGUCCAACGAUCAUGCAUGCACGGGAGAAUCUAGUUCACGGCGCACCGCUAGUCAGAACAAAAAGGGCCAAAAAAUCGGCCGCUUGAUUUUUGAUUUUUGAUUUUUGUUUUUUUUAAAAAAAAUAUGCCGGUGAAUCUUAGCUGUUGAGUAUUCUGCGGAGGCGUCGCAGAAAGCAGGGAAUCAGAUGCAACUUUAUCUUGAACGGUGAAGUACUAAACAUGUUAGACUCGAGUUAGGCUCUCGAUUUUGCAUAGACCGACAUAGUCUGAGCGUCAUUCUCAUUCUCCGGAUAUACGGAGAAGACCGUAGUCAGUUGAUCAUUGCCGAUAAUAGGGUUGCUCAAAACCUGGUCACCAGGUAGUACGCUUGACCACAAGCCCUAAUUUAACCCGAUGGUAUCAACGGUACCCGGCUCGAGUCUUAGGAUCGAGUCAUAAGACAGCAACUUAGAUAUAAACGGGACUUUAAUAAAUGAUACAUACUACAUAGCUAGAUCCUACGUAGCAUGAGUAUUAUUAGUACACAGUAUUAAGGUAUGUUGAUAUAUUUCCUAAUUGAGUACAGGGACACACCCCUGUCAAUGGUCCCCUCCGUUCGACCCACGAUGCCCAAAUAUUCAGGCUUCAUGUCGUGCAUGAGUGCUUCAUAUCUACUUCCCAUAUGGAGAACUCUGUGACAAAUAGUUGAAAUAUCGCAAUUCGUAACUUAAUUAAAGAUUAAUAACAACAUGCCGCGAGAUGUGGAGAGCAGUCUUGAGGAAAUAUCGGCGAGGUGCUGGAACGAGUUAUUGCCGAAAUAGGAAGACAACCCGCAACAAAGGGUUGGCAUUCUUCUGUUUCAGAGGCGGGGAUUUGUUGAUGAUAUGAACUUCAAUACUUAAGAGGUGAACAGUCUCCUCGAAUAAUCACACCAAGACGCUAAAGCAUUAAGAUCGAUUCUGCUUCGUUGAAUGUAUGGGGACCAAUCCGUCCGGGUAAUCAUCGUCUACAAUACAAGGGGAGACCGGUCUACAUACCCCUCAAUAUACACAACAGGAAGCUGCCAAAGCCUACCAUCUCUUUCCCGUCCUCCCAGGUGCUGUUUUCCGACUUCCCGAACUGCUGCUCAAUGGGAUCCCUGUUAUACGUUGCAUGACCUACACUGGUUCUGCCACAUGAUAUCUGCACGCCAAGACACCCAUUUACCCUAAUCAAGAACCCUGUCGGACUACACAUGUAACUUGACUCUCUUAUGUAGUCUUGCUGGGGAGAUUGGUCAUAUAGAGAUGUCUAGUUUGUAGUUGUCUCAUUGCGGAACAUCGGUAAAUUAUGACUGGUAGGAGUCCGUCGCCAGUUGUAAAUCAUAUGAUAGGUACGGUAGAUAUAUACCAUGGCGGGACGCAUCCAUUAAUUCUAGUCUCUGAUAGUCUCAUACUUAAAUUGUGCUGAUAACUUAGGGGUAUACAUCCAUGUCAACCGGUAAGAUCAUAGGCAGGACAAACAUUUUGAAGGUUGGGUAUGCAUAUACGGAGUACGUAUAUGCAUGCAUGCAGGCAGCGAUUGUGCCAUGUUAACCUAACAGUUUUACCAUUCUUCAGUGUUACCUACAUUGGCACAGUAUUUGUAUGGUAUUCGUUCAGAAGGUACUUGUAUUUCUUUCAUGAAAAUA